AUUGAACGUUGGCGGCGUGGAUUAGGCAUGCAAGUCGUGCAGAAAGGCUCCUUCGGGAGUACUCGAGCGGCGAAAGGGAGAGUAACGCGUGGAUAUCUACCCCCUGGACUGGGACAGCGGCGGGAAACUGCCGGUAAUACCAGAUAAUGUCUGCGGACCAAAGGUGUGAUUCCGCCGGGGGAUGAGUCCGCGUCCUAUUAGCUAGUUGGUGGGGUAACGGCCUACCAAGGCAAAGAUGGGUACCGGGUGUGAGAGCAUGGCCCGGCUCACUGGGACUGAGACACUGCCCAGAAACCUACGGGUGGCUGCAGUCGAGAACCUUCGGCAAUGGGCGAAAGCCUGACCGAGCGACGCCGCGUGCGGGAUGAAGGCCUUCGGGUUGUAAACCGCUGUCAGAGGGGAGGAAAUGCAUGAGGGUUCUCUCUCAUGUUUGACCUAUCCUCAGAGGAAGUACGGGCUAAGUUCGUGCCAGCCGCCGCGGUAAAAC
rnacentral:rRNA from 1 species